UACGUAGGGGGCGAGCGUUGUCCGGAUUUAUUGGGCGUAAAGGGCGUGUAGGCGGUUCGGUAAGUCUGUCGUGAAAUCCUGAGGCUCAACCUCGGACGUGCGAUGGAUACUGCCGGGCUAGAGGAUGGUAGAGGCGAGUGGAAUUCCCGGUGUAGCGGUGAAAUGCGCAGAUAUCGGGAGGAACACCAGUAGCGAAGGCGGCUCGCUGGGCCAUUCCUGACGCUGAGACGCGAAAGCUAGGGGAGCGAACAGG
rnacentral:rRNA from 1 species